rnacentral:sRNA from 1 species
AGUUUUAUGAACUCGGAUAUUUUAUAAUCUGACCGUGUGGGACUUGAAUAGUUCUAGUGCAACGACGUCUGGCUUUAAAGCCCUAGAGAGAGGAAACAAUGAAACACACAGAAUCAAAAGCCAGGAUACCCCCUCUGAAGGGGACAUCCGUUUUCCCUGUGAAGUGACUGGUUCUCCUCACAAUGAUGCUUUUAUUAGGACAGAAACACAACCACGUCAAUGCACCGAAAAUAUUAAGAUCGAAAAGGGACCAUCAUACAAUAGUAUGUUUGUCGAUGGUUCAACAAUAUAGGCUGUACAUGUGUUUGCCGAGAGUUCAUAUUAGUCCUGUCUACGUUCGAUACCAUGAGGUAAAGGCCUUCGGCGUCGUUUCCUUGCCGAAUAUCAAUAUUAUAAGUCAAGUGAUUCCGCAGACUUGUUGAUUUAAUAGAUUACAGCUCUUCACCUUGGAGACAUUUUGGAUACAGAGAAUCUACGUGUAAAGUGUUCUUAUAGUAUAAGUUAUAGGUACCCUGUGAUGAAAUGACUUGUAAGACAUCGUGAAUAUUAGCUAAAGCUUGUAGGAAUGACACAAAAAGUGCGAGAUAUAAAGGCUCAAUGUUAUCUUUUGUAGUAAAAAUCUGCAAUAGUUAAAUACAAGUAAUCGAAAAC